rnacentral:tRNA from 1 species
GCCUUCGUGGUGUAAUGUUCAGUACACUCGGCUCGUGUUCAAGAGAUCAGUGGUUCGAGUCCCGGCGAAGGCA